GACGAACGCUGGCGGCGUGCUUAACACAUGCAAGUCGAACGGAAAGGCCCUGCUUUUGUGGGGUGCUCGAGUGGCGAACGGGUGAGUAACACGUGAGUAACCUGCCCUUGACUUUGGGAUAACUUCAGGAAACUGGGGCUAAUACCGGAUAGGAGCUCCUGCUGCAUGGUGGGGGUUGGAAAGUUUCGGCGGUUGGGGAUGGACUCGCGGCUUAUCAGCUUGUUGGUGGGGUAGUGGCUUACCAAGGCUUUGACGGGUAGCCGGCCUGAGAGGGUGACCGGCCACAUUGGGACUGAGAUACGGCCCAGACUCCUACGGGAGGCAGCAGUGGAGAAUAUGGCACAAUGGGCGGGAGCCUGAUGCAGCAACGCCGCGUGCGGGAUGACGGCCUUCGGGUUGUAAACCGCUUUCGCCUGUGACGAAGCGUGAGUGACGGUAAUGGGUAAAGAAGCACCGGCUAACUACGUG
rnacentral:rRNA from 1 species